rnacentral:rRNA from 1 species
CACGUAGGGCGCAAGCGUUGUCCGGAAUUAUUGGGCUUAAAGAGCUCGUAGGCGGUCUGUUGCGUCCGCUGUGAAAACUCGGGGCUUAACCCCGAGCCUGCAGUGGAUACGGGCAGACUAGAGGUAGGUAGGGGAGAAUGGAAUUCCCGGUGUAGCGGUGAAAUGCGCAGAUAUCAGGAAGAACACCCGUGGCUAAGGCGGCUCUCUAGUCCGGUACUGACGCUGAGACGCGAAAGCGUGGGGAGCGAACAGG